rnacentral:rRNA from 1 species
UGGGGAAUAUUGCACAAUGGGAGAAACCCUGAUGCAGCGACGCCGCGUGAGUGAAGAAGUAUUUCGGUAUGUAAAGCUCUAUCAGCAGGGAAGAAAAUGACGGUACCUGACUAAGAAGCCCCGGCUAACUACGUGCC